GCAGCAACAAUACCAAAGCCAGGGAAGAAAAGCCAUUAUCUGCAGAUCGCCGGUGCUGGAGGCAAUGGGGGAAGAUCCAUUUGCUAGUGAUUUCAAUGUCCUUGCUUAAGACCUGUCUGCUGGGGUAUAUGGCUGAAGGUUUCCUGUUUGUUGGCUGGUUUGGAAGUUGGCAAUUCAUCGAGAUGAAGUUGUGCAAAGUUGGCUGUUCCUGAAUUUGCAUUUUUUUCCCAGAGGACAGAGUUUACAGUGAAAAAUGUUGCUAUGCUGCAUCAUCAUGAGCUCCAUUCCACCACACCCCCACUGGGUCACCCUGUCAUGUGGGGAGGCACAGGUCUGUCCUUCCUCACCUCUUCCCCCUCACCAAAGUCGUGGCGAUUCCCCUCAUCCCUGCUCUGGACACGGGAUUACCGUUCCGGCUCCUCUUCCCAGUGCAUCAUCAACAUGUUGUUUCCAGGGUCAUAAAUUUGCACUGUGAUGAGACACAACCAGAUGUUAGGAUACGUGAAGCGACUGGCGAAGCAGCCUGCCUGGCGCAGCCCCCACCUCCGGAGUCAGCCGCCCGCUAAUGAGAACCAGGUCUCCUGCCUCGAGCUGGGCCAGGACAGACGGAGAGCAUCCCCAGGAGCAACCGCAGAGCUGCCAUCUCGACCCCCUUCCUGCUCUCAGUACCCGGGGAGCAUCUCCAGGGCACUUGGCAGGAGAAAGGGCAGAGCCUGGGAUUUAGGUUGCAGACAAAAGCAAAUAUCUUCCUGAGUUUCUCUUGCCUUGUUUCCCUGCCAUAACAAAGUACCACGACAUUUGCCUUGAGUCAUCGAGGAGACAAGCCCUCGUAACCCGGGCCUG